AUUGAACGCUGGCGGCAUGCCUUACACAUGCAAGUCGAACGGUAACGGGCCUUCGGGUGCCGACGAGUGGCGAACGGGUGAGUAAUGCAUCGGAACGUACCUUUCAGUGGGGGAUAACGUAGCGAAAGUUACGCUAAUACCGCAUAUUCUGUGAGCAGGAAAGCAGGGGAUCGCAAGACCUUGCGCUGAUUGAGCGGCCGAUGUCAGAUUAGCUAGUUGGUGAGGUAAAGGCUCACCAAGGCGACGAUCUGUAGCGGGUCUGAGAGGAUGAUCCGCCACACUGGGACUGAGACACGGCCCAGACUCCUACGGGAGGCAGCAGUGGGGAAUUUUGGACAAUGGGGGCAACCCUGAUCCAGCCAUGCCGCGUGAGUGAAGAAGGCCUUCGGGUUGUAAAGCUCUUUCGGCCGGGAAGAAAUCGCACAGGCUAAUACCUUGUGUGGAUGACGGUACCGGAAUAAGAAGCACCGGCUAACUACGUGCCAGCCGCCGCAGUAAAAC
rnacentral:rRNA from 1 species